CCCGACUGCUAUCGGAUUGGGAUUUAGCCAUGUUAGUUGUGCGUUCCUUGGCUACAGGGGACGCAGCAUACGGCUCAGUAACACGUAGUCAACCUGCCCUGGAGACGCGGACAAACCCGGGAAACUGGGGCCUAUCCGCGAUAGAUGACCUCAUCUGGAAGGAGAGGUCGUCCAAAAGGGUGCACGGGUAUGCUCUGUGCAAACCGCUCCAGGAUGGGACUGCGGCCGAUCAGGCUGUUGGCGGGGUAAUGGCCCACCAAACCUGUAACCGGUACGGGCUUUGAGAGAAGGAGCCCGGAGAUGGACACUGAGACAAGGGUCCAGGCCCUACGGGGCGCAUCAGGCGCGAAAACUUCGCAAUGCGCGAAAGCGUGACGAGGCUAGUCCGAGUGCUUCCUGCUAAAGGGAGCUUUUCUCGGCUGUAAAUAGGCCGGGGAAUAAGGGGAGGGNCAGUCUGGUGU
rnacentral:rRNA from 1 species